CCCCUAGAUGUUCUGGGCCGCACGCGCGCUACACUGAACAGUUCAACAAGUCUUAACCUUGGCCGAUAGGUCUGGGUAAUCUUUGAACGCUGUUCGUGAUUGGGAUAGACCUUUGCAAUUAUGGGUCUUCAACGAGGAAUUCCUAGUAAACGCAAGUCAUCAGCUUGCAUUGAUUACGUCCCUGCCCUUUGUACACACCGCCCGUCGCACCUACCGAUUGAAUGGUCCGGUGAAAUCUCGGGACGGCGGCUUGGUCGCUUGCGUCCGACUGCUGAAACCUGAUUAAACCAUAUCAUUUAGAGGAAGGAGAAGUCGUAACA
rnacentral:rRNA from 1 species